UGGCGGCAGGCCUAACACAUGCAAGUCGAACGGUAACAGGAAUCAGCUUGCUGAUUCGCUGACGAGUGGCGGACGGGUGAGUAAUGUCUGGGAAACUGCCUGAUGGAGGGGGAUAACUACUGGAAACGGUAGCUAAUACCGCAUAACGUCGCAAGACCAAAGAGGGGGACCUUCGGGCCUCUUGCCAUCGGAUGUGCCCAGAUGGGAUUAGCUAGUAGGUGGGGUAAAGGCUCACCUAGGCGACGAUCCCUAGCUGGUCUGAGAGGAUGACCAGCCACACUGGAACUGAGACACGGUCCAGACUCCUACGGGAGGCAGCAGUGGGGAAUAUUGCACAAUGGGCGCAAGCCUGAUGCAGCCAUGCCGCGUGUAUGAAGAAGGCCUUCGGGUUGUAAAGUACUUUCAGCGGGGAGGAAGGGAGUAAAGUUAAUACCUUUGCUCAUUGACGUUACCCGCAGAAGAAGCACCGGCUAACUCCGUGCCAGCAGCCGCGGUAAUACGGAGGGUGCAAGCGUUAAUCGGAAUUACUGGGCGUAAAGCGCACGCAGGCGGUUUGUUAAGUCAGAUGUGAAAUCCCCGGGCUCAACCUGGGAACUGCAUCUGAUACUGGCAAGCUUGAGUCUCGUAGAGGGGGGUAGAAUUCCAGGUGUAGCGGUGAAAUGCGUAGAGAUCUGGAGGAAUACCGGUGGCGAAGGCGGCCCCCUGGACGAAGACUGACGCUCAGGUGCGAAAGCGUGGGGAGCAAACAGGAUUAGAUACCCUGGUAGUCCACGCCGUAAACGAUGUCGACUUGGAGGUUGUGCCCUUGAGGCGUGGCUUCCGGAGCUAACGCGUUAAGUCGACCGCCUGGGGAGUACGGCCGCAAGGUUAAAACUCAAAUGAAUUGACGGGGGCCCGCACAAGCGGUGGAGCAUGUGGUUUAAUUCGAUGCAACGCGAAGAACCUUACCUGGUCUUGACAUCCACGGAAGUUUUCAGAGAUGAGAAUGUGCCUUCGGGAACCGUGAGACAGGUGCUGCAUGGCUGUCGUCAGCUCGUGUUGUGAAAUGUUGGGUUAAGUCCCGCAACGAGCGCAACCCUUAUCCUUUGUUGCCAGCGGUCCGGCCGGGAACUCAAAGGAGACUGCCAGCGAUAAACUGGAGGAAGGUGGAGAUGACGUCAAGUCAUCAUGGCCCUUACGACCAGGGCUACACACGUGCUACAAUGGCGCAUACAAAGAGAAGCGACCUCGCGAGAGCAAGCGGACCUCAUAAAGUGCGUCGUAGUCCGGAUUGGAGUCUGCAACUCGACUCCAUGAAGUCGGAAUCGCUAGUAAUCGUGGAUCAGAAUGCCACGGUGAAUACGUUCCCGGGCCUUGUACACACCGCCCGUCACACCAUGGGAGUGGGUUGCAAAAGAAGUAGGUAGCUUAACCUUCGGGAGGGCGCUUACCACUUUGUGAUUCAUGACUGGGGUG
rnacentral:rRNA from 1 species